rnacentral:rRNA from 1 species
AGAGUUUGAUCCUGGCUCAGGACGAACGCUGGCGGCGUGCUUAACACAUGCAAGUCGAACGGACAUGCGGAUAGCUUGCUAGCUGCAUGUUUAGUGGCGGACGGGUGAGUAACGCGUGAAUACCUGUCCAUCGGAGGGGGACAACGGCUGGAAACGGCCGCUAAUACCGCGUAAGCCGAGAGGUGAAAGGUUGCCUUAGGGUAGCCGCCGAUGGGGGGUUCGCGUCCUAUCAGCUAGUUGGUGGGGUAAGGGCCUACCAAGGCGAAGACGGGUAGCCGGUCUGAGAGGGCGAUCGGCCACACUGGAACUGAGAUACGGUCCAGACUCCUACGGGAGGCAGCAGUGGGGAAUAUUGGGCAAUGGGGGAAACCCUGACCCAGCGACGCCGCGUGAGGGAUGAAGGUUUUUCGGAUCGUAAACCUCUGUUUGUACGGGGAAGAAGAAAGUGACGGUACCGUACGAGGAAGCCCGGCAAACUACGUGCCAGCMGCCGCGGUAAUA